CGUGCCCGCAGCCGUGCCCGCAGCCCGCUCAGCCCUGCUCGCCGCCAGGUGCCUCCGCGCCCCGCUCCAUCUGCACCUUCUGCCUCAGCGACCAGCGGCAGCGGCACCGAGAAAGAGAGAAAGCAUCACCUGCUCCAGCCGUAACCGGGCCCUGAACAGGCUGAGGUCUCGCACCACUCCUGCUCUGACUGUACCACUGCUCUGGGUAACAUCGCCUCACUCGUGCUGCAUGUUUACAUUUAGAUAGCACAGUCCUAAAAGAGUUCCUCUUUAAGCCUAUGCACUUUGUUUCAUAUUGUGAGGGCUUUUUUCAGGGUGUUUUGCAAGUGAAAUCCACUGCCUCGGUCGCACCGGGCGCUGCAGCUAUUUUAGCGCGAGAAACGUUAAACCUCAGCAGCCAAGCCCUGAUCCUGAUGCCUCCCAAACCUGUGUCGCAUGAUGAAACUUGAACUUCCAAACACACGGUGUCCCCUGUCAGGGGGGGCUGCCACGAACGCGCCGUGCCCUCCGCCUCCAGCGCAGCCCGGGCUGCACGCAGCGCUGCCGCCCACCCCUGCAGCUGCACGCCAGCGCCGGGGACACGGCCUGAUGCCGACAGCUGACAUGCUUCAGAGGCCUCAGCCGUGCUGGGGGAUUAUUUUGAGGUGUUCACAGAAAGCUGGAAAAACUUCCAGUGAAAGAAAGCCGCGCCCUCGGCUGUGCACUGGCACAGAGCGCAGGGGCACGGGACGCAGCCAGCGCAGGGGAGGAAAGGGGAGAAGUGCAGUGUAAGCGAUGCUCCUUUCGUAUUAACACCGUGAGUCCUGCCAGCCCUUUAAAUAGCGCGGGAUAUUCCUAAAUCUGCCUGGCAGGGAGGGUUUUCCAAGGGCUUUUACCCAUCACCCCGGUCUUUCCAUAAUUGUGCCCUGUACACCACUGAGGUCGUUUAACUCCCCUCAAUUUACUAACUUGUAUAUUGUUUUUCAGAAGUAACUCUAAAAGGCAAAUAAGCAUAUUCUGUGUUCAGAUUUGGACAUUAGUGAAGCAGCAGGCUGAAAUCUUAAACCACAGAGGUUAAUUUUGCAAUAUUUUUAUUGCAAAAUUACUAUUUAUAACAUAAUUAAUUAGGCAUUAACUUGUUACUUUGGGAGGCACUCUGUAUUCUGUAAGCCUGGUAACUGUACCACUCCAAGAGGUGCUGCGAGCAGAACUUGUCUCCUUUUUCCUCCCCUGCUGCCAUCUGUGCUCCUGGCCAGCCUCGCUGCUCUGGCCAAACAUGAGGGCUGAAGAAGCAGCACUUUGUUCACUUUCUCUUCUGUACAGAGUUUUCUCUUCUAGCCCUACAUAAGUGCAAAGCAAAUUCUGGCAGUUGUUACCAAGAACUUAGCAAGAACAAGGUCGUGGUGGACUCCUAUACAACUUCACCUUUUUAUUUCCCUUCUCCCCUGCCCAACACACUUUUUCUGUACCCAAUGAGGAAAAAUCUGCUGUACCCACAGAAAUGCAGUAAGCUCUUCCUUUGAAUUCUAACAAAGAAAAAUACCAAGCAAAUCCCAGCGAGUCCACAUCACGUCAGUCUCUUCGGUUAUUAAAAGCCACAGGCUGCAUUUUCCUGGAUUGAGAGGAGAUUUUUUGCUUUUAGAAGGUUUCUAUCAUUAAUCUUUUUUUAAUGAGGAACUUGCAAUUGCUGCCAGAUCAUGGUCUGUGUUUGCUUUGGCACUGAUUAGUGAAGCUGGAACUCUUUACAGUUUUGUGUAAAGUCUUUUUUUAAUUUUUGUGUUGUGUCGGCCUCUGUGUGUGGGCAUAGAGUUCUACAAACAUAUUUUCCUGGAUCUUUUUAAUCAAUUUGAAGAAAUUUAUCUUUUAAAAAGUUAUUUGCUCUACAAUUAAAGCUGAUCUUGCAGUUAGGCCCUACAUUCUUGUGAACACAUUAAAACAAAGCAUCUGACCUCUUUAUAGACAGUUAACAUUAAUUUAUUCAUUUAGCUGUAUCAUUUCAUAUUAUACCUAAAAUGACAAAACAUAAUUCAGCUUCAAACAAAUUUAGGAAAAUUUUUCAUUGAGUAUGCUCUGAAUUUCAAAAUUUGUAAGAAAGACAAUAAAAUUAUUAAUUUCAGGUUUUCAAAAUGCUGUGAUUUUAUUGCAAUUUUAGGAGGUUUUAGUGUAACUCUUGGCAAAUGAAGUAUAUUUGGAUUUAAUGAGAUAUCUUUAUGCUUAGUUAUUAAAAGAAAUGAGUACAAAAUGUGAAGUCCACUUCUGUACCAAAGUAAGAGCUGAAAUCUCAUAACUUGAAACUCUCAAGAAUGAUUUCUACAAUCCUAGAGGAAUUUGGUGUCCUCCCUUUGAAAGGGAUUUUAUCUCCCUAGUUUUGUAAAGGGUUUAUACAAGAUGAUUUUCAAUGACAAAAACAGGAGCAGGCCCUAAAACUUGGCCUUCUCUCCUGUUUAAUGUGGCUCAGUUUAACAUUGAAUUCUUCUCUCUUUACUCAGGAUAAACUGUUGAAUUCAACUGGGCUUGAAGAUUUUCUCAGGGUUUCAAUUGCUAAAUAAUACAGGAGUUUCAGCAACACUGAUUGAUCGUGGCAGAAAUUAGACCCCAGAGCACUGUGGCCCAAAUAUUUAUGGUAUAGACAGAUAAUGUCUAUGCAAAGCAAUUAAAACCAUGAUUUCUCUGAGGAACGUUUGUGUAUGUGUAACUGUGUGUAUUUAAAUGAGGAAAAUUUGGGACAAAUCCUUCACUUUGCCUAAAUAUAUUUGUAAUGUAAAACUUCUCUAACCUCAGGAGCAAAAAAAAAAAAAAAAAAAUUAAAAUCAAGCUGUUACUCUGUAAUGGAUUUUCUAUAAAUCAAGGGAAAAAGAAUUUAAUUUCUGGAGACACAGAUGAAUUGAAGCUCAGGUUUCACAUAUAAAGAGCUCAUCAUCAUUCAAUGUUCUACUGAAUUGUUACUGUAUGAGCUUGUGUGUCUUAUCAGUCCUACUUUUUUAAUAAUGGGGCAGGGUUAUCCAUGGCAUGCACAAAUAUACAAGUCAAAAUCUUGAGGGUGUCUGAGAGCAAGUACCUUACUUGAUGGUCAGGCACUGGAAUAAUGUGAGUUCUUCCAGAGGUGCUAAGCCAUCUCUAGUUCUGCAGAUCUUGGGGUUUGACUUAUUUGUGAGUGCAUUCUGUUCUCUGUGUAUGAACAGAGCAUGCCUGAUGCCAAUCCCAGCUUUGUUUUCCUGUAAACACUUGGCUAUUCAAUUUACAUGAUGCAUGAAUAAAGCAGAAACUGUGAGAUAUACACCAUUUGGUCUCAGAUCCCAUUACAUUAUUGUUAAAAUAAUCCAAGCAUGGUACUUUGUAUAAAUCAUUUUACUUAGCCUGCUACAUCACUGUAUAAAAACAGCACCUAGCAAAGUGAAUAAAUCAUGUUGUUUGAUUUUACUGGUUAAGUUUAAAGAAGCAUUUUAACAUAGUUCUUGGUUAUUUAUGAAUUAAUCAUAAUGUAAGUCGAAGUAGUUUCAUAUGUUAGUUUCUAUUUUCACUCCUGUUCCACAAAACAGAAGUUCCCUUUCAUGGAAAAUCUGCUUCUUUACAAAAAUCUGUACUUGUUUGCAAAAUGUGAUUAUAUUUGCUAAAAUAAAGAGUAUUUUUGCUACUAAUUUAAACAACAAA